AACGAACGCUGGCGGCGCGUUUUAAGCAUGCAAGUCGGACGGUAUAGGGAGCUUGCUCCCUAGAGAGUGGCGAACGGGUGAGUAACACGUAGAUGAUCUGCCUUUUAAGUUGGGGAUAGCCCAUGGAAACAUGGGGUAAUACCGAAUACGUUCUCACUGGUAAAGUGGUGAGAAGAAAGGGGCUAAGGCCCCGCUUAAAGAUGAGUCUGCGGUUCAUUAGCUAGUUGGUGGGGUAAAGGCCUACCAAGGCGACGAUGAAUAGCCGGCCUGAGAGGGUGAACGGCCACACUGGAACUGAGACACGGUCCAGACUCCUACGGGAGGCAGCAGCUAAGAAUCUUCCGCAAUGGGCGAAAGCCUGACGGAGCGACGCCGCGUGUAUGAUGAAGGCCGUGAGGUUGUAAAGUACUUUUCUCAUUGAAGAAUAAGCCGGGGAGGGAAUGCCCUGGUGAUGACGUUAGAUGAGGAAUAAGCAACGGCUAAUUACGUGCCAGCAGCCGCGGUAACACGUAAGUUGCAAGCGUUGUUCGGAUUUAUUGGGCGUAAAGGGCGCGUAGGCGGUUUAUCAAGCUUGGUGUAAAAUCUCCCAGCUUAACUGGGAAUCUGCGUUGAGAACUGAUAGACUAGAGUAUAAGAGGGGGAGUUGGAAUUCCAGGUGUAGGGGUGAAAUCUGUAGAUAUCUGGAAGAACACCGGUGGCGAAGGCGAACUCCUGGCUAUAUACUGACGCUGAGGCGCGAAAGCGUGGGGAGCAAACAGGAUUAGAUACCCUGGUAGUCCACGCUGUAAACGAUGUGCACUAGGUGUCGGGGAGAUAUUCUCGGUGCCGUAGCUAACGCGUUAAGUGCACCGCC
rnacentral:rRNA from 1 species